AUGGCAGACUACGAGCAGGAACAGGAGAUGGAGUUGGAGGCCCUGCAGGCCAUCCUCAUGGACGACAUCAAGGAGAUCGACCCCAGCGAAAGCGGGAUUGACACCAACUCCCGCUGCUUCGAGAUCCUGCUAUCCCCUCAGGAUGAUGAUUUCGACGAGGCAGCUCAUGUACCAGUUCAAAUGGCUCUGGUUUUUGCACACACUGAGAAGUACCCAGAUGAGCCUCCACUUGUGAAUAUCAAAAGUGUACGGGGUAUUAAACCAGACGACCUCACAUCCUUGAAAGAAAAGCUUGACCAAGAGGCAACUGAGAAUCUUGGUAUGGCUAUGAUAUAUACUCUUCUCGACUCGGCUAAAGAAUGGUUAACUGAAAAAUAUGGUCAAAAUGCUGGAGAUGAGGAACCUGACGAAACUGAAGAACCAGCAGAGGAGGUCAUUAUACCCCAUGGUGAAGCUGUUACUGUAGAGAGCUUUAUGGCCUGGAGGGAACGUUUUGAAGCUGAAUUGGCGCUGCAGCGUGCUAAGCUUAUGCCAGAGUCAGCUCUUACUGCCCCAAAGGAAAAGAAACUCUCUGGAAGACAGUAUUUUGAAAGUGGAAGGCAUAUAACGAAAGGAGCAGGUACAGUUGCUGAAGAAGAUGAGGAAGAGGAGGAUAUCGAAUUCGAUGACGAUUUUGAAGAUGAUGAGGAGGACAUGCUCGAGCAUUUUUUAGCAGAACAGACGGGGAAAUCGUCAGCUUAG
rnacentral:rRNA from 1 species